UCCGGCAUGGUCUUGUUGUUAGGAUAUCUGACUCUCUCCCAGAAGGCCCUGGUUCGAUUCCCGUUCUCGGAU